AAUGGCAUUACUUAAGUAGAUUAUCAUUAAUUUCAGUUAGAGUUGUAGGCUUACAGGGAGAGGAACUGUUGAAUUUACCAUUGAGAAAGGUAGACAGUUCAACAUUUGCUCCAGAAGCUGGUGGUGAACCAAGAAAGACAGCCAGUAUUCAGGUAUAAUAGAAUCUAUCUAUCUAUCUCUCUCUCUCUCUCUCUCUCUCUCUCUCUCUCACACAAAUUUGAUAUUUCCAAAUGUAAAAUGUAUGCAUGGCACCCAAAUUUACUUUGAAAAUAUUUAAUGUCCAAAAAUUAAUCAGUAAUUUGUGUAUAGGUUGUUAUAGAUAGUUAUUCAGCACCAUUAACAGCGGGUAAUUUCGCAAAAUUGGUUAGGUAGUUGAACACUAGUUUGUUGGUUAGGUGUUAGAACAAGAUUAUGUUGGAAUAUUAUUGUCCCUUUAUGAAGCUCUUUUUAUUGUUGUAGCAGUUUGUUGGUUUGGUUUAGGUUCCAUCAUGUGGAAUAAUGUUUAUGUUGGAUAAUUUGGUUAUGAAAUGAAUUUUGGUCAUUGUGUUGAUUUUGUUGGAAUGAAUGCUAGUUGAUGGUGGUGUUAGUACCUUGUUGAUUAUGGUUGUUGCUAUUGUGGAUUAAAUGAGAUUUGAAUUUGCAGGUUUCUGGUAAAAAUGAGAUUUGAAACAGUUGUGGUAACAAUUUCUGCAGUUGGCGAUGGCAGAGUCCCGUCACAAAUGAUUUUGGUGGGAAAAUUCAAAAAUUUCAGUUCAGAUCUGAAUUUUUUAAAAUAUCACAGCGACGGCGAUUGCGGUCGCCAAUAGAGGUAUUUGCAACGGCAAGUUCAGUAGCCAAUUUCCGUCGCUAAUUAAGCGACGGUCUUUACAGUCGCUAUUUGCCGUCGCAAACAUGGUUGUGACGGCUCACUGCCGUCGCCAAAAGCAACGGCCACGCCCUCAACGGCGACGGGAAAAAUGUCGUCGCCACGCCGUCGUCGUUGGUCUUUUGCGACGGCAGAAUGACUUUUGGCGACGGCAUUUUGCCGUGGCUAACUAAAUUAAUUUUUGUAGUGAAUAUAAAAGAAUCAAUGAA
rnacentral:lncRNA from 1 species